GACGAACGCUGGCGGCGUGCUUAACACAUGCAAGUCGAACGGAAAGGCCCUGCUUUUGUGGGGUGCUCGAGUGGCGAACGGGUGAGUAACACGUGAGUAACCUGCCCUUGACUUUGGGAUAACUUCAGGAAACUGGGGCUAAUACCGGAUAGGAGCUCCUGCUGCAUGGUGGGGGUUGGAAAGUUUCGGCGGUUGGGGAUGGACUCGCGGCUUAUCAGCUUGUUGGUGGGGUAGUGGCUUACCAAGGCUUUGACGGGUAGCCGGCCUGAGAGGGUGACCGGCCAAAUGGGGACUGAGAGACGACCCAGACUCCUACGGGAGGCAGCAGUGGGGAAUAUUGCACGAUGGGCGGAGGCCUGAUGCAGCAACGCCGCGUGCGGGAUGACGGCCUUCGGGUUGUAAACCGAUUUCGCCUGUGACGAAGCGUGAGUGACGGUAAUGGGUAAAGAAGCACCGGCUAACUACGU
rnacentral:rRNA from 1 species